AUGGGGGCAACCCUGACCGAGCAACGCCGCGUGAGUGAAGAAGGUUUUCGGAUCGUAAAGCUCUGUUGUAAGUCAAGAACGAGUGUGAGAGUGGAAAGUUCACACUGUGACGGUAGCUUACCAGAAAGGGACGGCUAACUACGUGCCAGCAGCCGCGGUAAUACGUAGGUCCCGAGCGUUGUCCGGAUUUAUUGGGCGUAAAGCGAGCGCAGGCGGUUUGAUAAGUCUGAAGUUAAAGGCUGUGGCUCAACCAUAGUUCGCUUUGGAAACUGUCAAACUUGAGUGCAGAAGGGGAGAGUGGAAUUCCAUGUGUAGCGGUGAAAUGCGUAGAUAUAUGGAGGAACACCGGUGGCGAAAGCGGCUCUCUGGUCUGUAACUGACGCUGAGGCUCGAAAGCGUGGGGAGCGAACAGGAUUAGAUACCCUGGUAGUCCACGCCGUAAACGAUGAGUGCUAGGUGUUGGAUCCUUUCCGGGAUUCAGUGCCGCAGCUAACGCAUUAAGCACUCCGCCUGGGGAGUACGACCGCAAGGUUGAAACUCAAAGGAAUUGACGGGGGCCCGCACAAGCGGUGGAGCAUGUGGUUUAAUUCGAAGCAAGCGAAGAACCUUACCAGGUCUUGACAUC
rnacentral:rRNA from 1 species